rnacentral:rRNA from 1 species
CACGUAGGGCGCAAGCGUUGUCCGGAAUUAUUGGGCGUAAAGAGCUCGUAGGCGGUCUGUCGCGUCUGCUGUGAAAUCCCCGAGGCUCAACCUCGGGCUUGCAGUGGGUACGGGCAGGCUAGAGUGCGGUAGGGGAGAAUGGAACUCCUGGUGUAGCGGUGGAAUGCGCAGAUAUCAGGAGGAACACCGGUGGCGAAGGCGGUUCUCUGGGAAUGACCUGACGCUGAGGAGCGAAAAGUGUGGGGAGCGAACAGG